GCCUGAAAUACCUCCAGCGAAGUAGGAGGCACUGUCUAUGGCUCUACGGCGCUAACUGCUUUGGACCAGAUGAAGAGGGGAGCGGCGAGAGUAAGGAUCCACGACGUUUUGCACUGAAACUGUGCGGGGGAGGCAAUGGCGACAGCAGCCGAGACAACGGACUGAUCUCAAAUGCUCAGGCCUGAGAACCGACGUCUUAGGACGUGGAGGUCCGUGGGGCACUAGCCAGGGCCGUGGGCCGUGGAAGCUGGGACCUAACGCCGAGGCUCGGAGCCUAGGGUCACAGAAGACACAAGCCAGGCUUCGAGCAGCCAGGAGUCCGGGCUGCCCGGCUGGGGUCACUGGGAGCCGAGACUUGAGGGAUGCGACCCCGGAGCGAAGGGCCUGAGGCGCCAUUUUGUGACCGCAGAGGGCAGUGACCGCGACGCCAAGGGAGGCGUGGGCGAGCCUGGCAUGCCUCAGCCCGUCUUGUCCCUCCCCGGCCCGGAGCGCGUCCUUCACCCUGCUGGGCCUACCUGUGUAGCUCAUGACGGCAGCGAACACCCGAGCCGUGGACACCGACCGCUACUCUGAGGCGCGUCUGACGCCACAACAAUCUUUGGGGGCCCUUCCACACACGCCCAGCCCCACCUCCUGAUCUCAUUGGCUCGGGCCAGCCUCGGACUUCACGUCCAUUGGACCAGUUAGCUGUCUAUUUCUAUACUUCUCCGCAACAGUGGUUGGAGAUACUGCCAACCCCUAAUGGCCCCGCCCUACCACCGCCUCCUGUUAACCAAAGCCUGCGCUGAUAGGCCAAAUGGAGACGACGGGGAGGUAGAGUUCGAAGGGGCGGGGCUACGUGCAACCCAGAGGCCGGAGCCCACGCGUGGCGGGUGCCGGUUGUCUGUUUGCUGGACACCUGCCGGUGGUAGCGCAGGCAAUUGUCCUAAGCUCCGCCACUGAAAUGCUAGCCAAAGCCAUUCAUGUAUUCCUUUGGCAUUUGAAAUGGUAGCCAAACUCGUUCGUGUAUUCCUCUGGCUUUUCAGUUCCAAAACUAGAAUGGUAAAGCUACGCUGAAAUGAGAAAAUGAAGAUCUAACUGCCAAACAAGGUCCUGACAAACAUUACGUGAGAUAAUGUUUAAAUAAAUGAGCCUGGACACGUG